rnacentral:snoRNA from 20 species
GCCCCGGGAAACCGCGGGGGAUGAGCGACAGCCCGGCAAGCUGUGAGUCCCCUUUGCUCCCCCGGGGCACA